GUGCGAUUGGUCUAGCCUGGUAUGACGCUAGCCUCACACGCUGGAGGUCCCCGGUCCAAAUCCGGGAUCGCACACCA
rnacentral:tRNA from 1 species